rnacentral:rRNA from 1 species
GUGGGGAAUCUUGCGCAAUGGGCGAAAGCCUGACGCAGCCAUGCCGCGUGAAUGAUGAAGGUCUUAGGAUUGUAAAAUUCUUUCACCGGGGACGAUAAUGACGGUACCCGGAGAAGAAGCUCCGGCUAACUUCGUGCCAGCAGCCGCGGUAAUACGAAGGGGGCUAGCGUUGCUCGGAAUUACUGGGCGUAAAGGGCGCGUAGGCGGACAGCUUAGUCAGAGGUGAAAGCCCAGGGCUCAACCUUGGAAUUGCCUUUGAUACUGGCUGGCUUGAGUUUGGGAGAGGUGAGUGGAACUCCGAGUGUAGAGGUGAAAUUCGUAGAUAUUCGGAAGAACACCAGUGGCGAAGGCGACUCACUGGCCCAAUACUGACGCUGAGGCGCGAAAGCGUGGGGAGCAAACAGGAUUAGAAACCCUGGUAGUCC